UUAGGGUUUAGGGUUUAGGGCUUAGGGCUUAGGGCUUAGGGCUUAGGGUUUUAGGGGUUUUAGGGGUUUUAGGGUUUUUAGGGUUUUUAGGGGUUUUAGGGUUUUUAGGGUUUUUAGGGUUUUUGGUUUAGGGUUUAGGGUUUAGGGUUUAGGGUUUUAGGGUUUAGGGUUUAGGGUUUAGGGUUUUAGGGUUUUAGGGUUUAGGGUUUUAGGGUUUUAGGGUUUAGGGUUUAGGGUUUUAGGGUUUUAGGGUUUAGGGUUUUAGGGUUUUAGGGUUUAGGGUUUUAGGGUUUAAAACGGGUUUGGGUUUAGGGUUUCAGAGGUUUUAGGGUUUAAGGGUUUAGGGUUUUAGGGUUAGGGUUUAGGGUUUUAGGGUUUUAGGGUUUAGGGGUUUUAAGGGUUCAGGUUUUAGGGUUUUAGGUUUUAGGGUUUUAGUGGUUAGGGUUUAGGGGGUUUCAGGGUUUAGGUUUAGGGUUUAGCGGUUUUGGGUUUUAGGUUUAGGGUUUAGGGUUUAGGGUUUAUGGGUUUUACGGGUUUAGGUUUAGGGUUUAGGGUUUAGGGUUUAGGGUUUAGGUUUUAGGGUUUUAGGGUUUUAGGGUUUAGGGUUUAGGGUUAGGGGUUUAGGGUUAGGGUUUUAGGUUAAGGGUUUAGGGUUUUUAGGGUUUUAGGGUUUUAGGGGUUUUAGGGUUUAGGGGUUUAGGGUUGUAGGGUUUAGGUUUAGGUUUAGGGUUUGGGUUUAGGGUUUAGGGUUUAGGGUUCCUAGGUUAGGGUUUAGGGUUUAGGGUUUAGGUGUAGGGUUUUUAAGGGUUUGAGGUUAGGGUUUAGGGUUAGGGUUUAGGGUUUAAGGGUUUAGGUUUAGGGUUUAGGGUUUAGGGUUUAGGGUUUCAGGUUUAGGGUUUAGGGUUUAGGGCGUUUUUUUAGGGUUUAAGGGUUUAAGGGUUUAGGGUUAGGGUUUAGGUUUAGGGUUUAGGGUUUAGGGUUUAGGGUUUAGGGUUUUAGGGUUUAGGGUUUUUAGGGUUUGGGUUUAGGUUUAGGGUUUUCACCGGGUUUUAGGGUUUUAGGGUUUAGGGUUUUAGGGUUUAGGGUUUAGGGUUUAGGGUUUUACGGGUUUAGGGUUUAGGGUUUAAAGGGUUUACGGGGUUUAGGGUUUAGGAGUUUAAGGGUUUAGGGUUUAGGUUUAGGUUUAGGGGUUAGGGUUUAGGUGGUUUUAGGGUUAGGGUUUAGGGUUUAGGGUUUAGGGUUUAGGGUUUAGGGUUUUAGGGUUAGGUUUAGUUUAGGUUAGGUUUAGGGUUUAGGGUUUAGGGUUUAGGGUCUUAGGGUUCAGGCGUUUUAGGGUUUUAGGGUUUAAGGUUUACGGGUUUAAGGGUUUAGGGUUUAGGGUUUAGGGUUUAGGUUUAGGGUUUUAGGGUGUAGGGUUUCAGGGUUAGGGUUUAGGGUUUAGCGGUUGUUAGGUUUUAGGUUUGAGGGCUUUAGGGGUUAGGGUUUAGGUUUAGGGUUUAGGGUUUAGGGUUUAGGGGUUAGGGGUUUAGGGUUUAGGGUUUAGGGUUAGGGUUAGGGUUUAGGGUUUAGGGUUUAGGGUUUAGGGUUUAGGGUUUUAGGGUUUAGGGUUUUGGGUUUAGGGUUUAGGGUUUAGGGUUUAGGGUUUAGGGUUUAGGGUUUUGUUAGGGUUUAGGGUUUAGGGUUUAGGGUUUAGGGUUUAGGGUUUAGGUUUAGGGUUUAGGGUUUAGGGUUUAGGGUUUAGGGUUUAGGGUUUAGGGUUUAGGGUUUAGGGUUUUAGGGUUUAGGUUUAGGGUUGUAGGGUUUAGGGUUUAGGGUUUAGGGUUUAGGGUUUAGGGUUUAGGAGUUUAGGGUUUAGGUUUAGGGUUUAGGGUUUAAGGGUUUAGGGUUUUAGGGUUUAGGGUUUAGGGUUUAAGGGUUUAGGGUUUAGGGUUUAGGGUUUAGGGUUUAGGGUUUAGGGUUAGGGUUUAGGUUUAGGGUUUAGGGUUUAGGGUUUAGGGUUUUAAGGGUUUAGGGUUUAGGUGGUUUAGGGUUUAGGGUUUAGGGUUUAGGGUUUUAGGGUUUAGGGUUUAGGGUUUAGGGUUUAGGGUUUAGGGUUUAGGGUUUAGGGUUUUUAGGGUUUAGGGUUUAGGGUUUUAGGGUUUAGGGUUUAGGGUUUUAGGGUUUAGGGUUUAGGGUUUAGGGUUUAGGGUUUAGGGUUUAGGUUAGGGUUUAGGGUUUAGGGUUUAGGGUUUUAGGGUUUAGGGUUUAGGGUUUAGGGUUUUUAGGGUUUAGGGUUUUUAGGGUUUUAGGGUUUAGGGUUUAUUAGGGUUUAGCGGUUUAGGUUUAGGGUUUGGGUUAGGGUUUAGGGUUUAGGGUUUAGGGUUUAGGGUUUAGGGUUUAGGGUUUAGGGUUUAGGGUUAGGGUUUAGGGUUAGGGUUAGGGUUUAGGUUUAGGGUUUUAGGGUUUUUAGGGUUUAGGGUUUUAGGGUUUUAGGUUUAGGGUUUAGGGUUUAGGGUUUAGGGUUUAGGGUUUUAGGGUUUAGGGUUUAGGGUUUAGGGUUUUAGGGUUUUUAAGGGUUUAGGGUUUAGGUUUGGGUUUGGGUUAGGGUUAGGGUUUAGGUUUGGUUAGGGUUUUAGGGUUUAGGGUUUAGGGUUUAGGGUAGGGUUAGGGUUAGGGUUUAGGUUUGGUUUAGGUUUAGGGUUUAGGGUUUAGGUUUUAGGGUUAGGGUUUAGGUUUGUUUAGGGUUAGGUUUUAGGGUUUAGGGUUUAGGUUUAGGUUUAGGGGUUUUUAGGGUUUAGGGUUUAGGGUUUAGGGUUUAGGGUUUUAGGGUUUAGGGUUUAGGGUUUAGGGUUUAGGGUUUAGGGUUUAGGGUUUAGGUUUUAGGGUUUAGGGUUUAGGGUUAGGGUUUUAGGGUUAGGUUUAGGUUUAAGGUUUAGGGUUUAGGUUUAGGGUUUAGGGUUAGGGUUUUAGGGUUUAGGUUUAGGGUUUAGGGUUUAGGGUUUAGGGUUAGGGUUUAGGGUUAGUUAGGUUUAGGGUUUAGGGUUUUAGGGUUUAGGUUUAAAGGGUUUAGGGCUUUUAAGGUUUAGGGUUUAGGCGUUUUGGUUAAGGGGUUUAGGGUUAAGGGUUUAGGGGUUGGUUGUUAUUAGGGUUAGGUUUUAGGGUUAGGGUUUUAAGGGUUUAAGGUUUUAGGUUUAGGGUUUAAGGGUUGAAGGGGUUUAGGUUUACGGUUUAGGGUUCUAGGGUUUUUAGGGUUUUAGGUUUUAAGGUUUAGGGUUUAGGGUUAGGGUUUAGGGUUUAGGUUUUAGGUUUAGGGUUUAGGGUUUUAGGGUUUUUAUGGGUUUACGGGUUUAGGGGUUUUAGGUUUAGGGUUUACGGGUUUAAGGGUUUUAGGGUGUUAGGGGAGGGGUUUUUUAGGGUUUUAGGGUUUAGGGUUUAGGGUUUGGUUUUAGGGUUUAGGGUUUAGGGUUAGGGUUAGGGUUUUUAGGGUUUAAGGGUU
rnacentral:lncRNA from 1 species